CAUUACCUCUGAACUAGUGGAUGGCAAGUUCAAUUGUCAGAGUCGCUGCGCUUGUUAAAUCCGCCUCUCUCCUCCUGAUGCUCACGGAGGUGUCCAGAUCUAAUGGCACCAAGCAAGUCCAAAAGAUGCUGAAAUCUUUGUUAUGCCUGAAAUAUCGAUAACUUCACGAGGUAAACAUUGUAGUGUCUGUUGAGAAGAUGGAUGGCCAGCUGGUAGUGAUAUCGCCAUCAAAG